UCUAAACAUUUACAACAAAAAGCUAAUUUCCAGAUUUUCAACAGAGAGUGGACGGAUAAAUAUGUUUUAUGUUUUUACUGAAAAACCAUACAUAAAUGAUGCAUUGUUGGGAAAGCAUUAUAGAAUUAAACACUGUGGCUUCCGCCAUACUUUUUCAUCCGAUUUGGAUAUUCGCUAGCCAAAAAAUGUAUGUAUCAAAGAAAAUGAUCAACGUAGCUGAGCCGUUUUCAGUAGUUGUUGUUGAAGUCAAAGAGAGGAAUCGCAUGUUCUCUUGGCGGGGACACUCGGCAGAAAGAUGCAGACUUUCGGGAGAAUGCCUCAUAGCGUUAGAUGAAGGGAUCACUGAAAAUCACAUAAAGGACCAAAUGCUGCUAGCAAGUGUGAAGUCUACACCUAUACGGGACAUAUCCACUGGAAGAAGGAUGGACUUUCUACCCUCAGAAGUUUUUCUAACUCUUUUGACCUGAGGACAUAUUGGGAUACACUGGAAGGACAAGCCAUCACAACAAUAAGGAAAAUUUAUUUCAUCCUUUUUAAAAAAAUCUGGCUUCUUGUAAUUGAUUUGGUGCAACAACCCACGGCGGGAAAAAGGAACAGGCUAUUGGCAUUGUGGAACCUCGGAUGAAAUCCUUUCACUGCCUCAUCCAUCAGAUUUCUGGGCGACCGACUGAGGGACCUAAAGACUAACCUCAUCUGAGCAAGACCUGAAGAUGUUCUGAAGUCUUUUGUGACUUCUGGCUAAGUUGUUGCCUCUCCUGACAGAUGAUCUCAUGAAGAGCAGCACAGAGACAUCACAGCGGUGAGGGUUCAGCACAGCGGCGGUCAGCCCUAAAAAGCUCUCCAGCACGCUGCUUUCUGUGAAAGUCAAACCUGGAACACCAAGCAACAUGAAUGCUCAAUCUCUGUGGGCUUUUAACUCAUUUCCAACACUAAAGAGUUUUUUUGUUCC